rnacentral:rRNA from 1 species
CCCCGGUAAACGGCGGCCGUAACUAUAACGGUCCUAAGGUAGCGAAAUUCCUUGUCGGGUAAGUUCCGACCUGCACGAAUGGCGUAAUGAUGGCCAGGCUGUCUCCACCCGAGACUCAGUGAAAUUGAACUCGCUGUGAAGAUGCAGUGUACCCGCGGCAAGACGGAAAGACCCCGUGAACCUUUACUAUAGCUUGACACUGAACAUUGAGCCUUGAUGUGUAGGAUAGGUGGGAGGCUUUGAAGUGUGGACGCCAGUCUGCAUGGAGCCGACCUUGAAAUACCACCCUUUAAUGUUUGAUGUUCUAACGUGGACCCGUAAUCCGGGUUGCGGACAGUGUCUGGUGGGUAGUUUGACUGGGGCGGUCUCCUCCUAAAGAGUAACGGAGGAGCACGAAGGUUGGCUAAUCCUGGUCGGACAUCAGGAGGUUAGUGCAAUGGCAUAAGCCAGCUUGACUGCGAGCGUGACGGCGCGAGCAGGUGCGAAAGCAGGUCAUAGUGAUCCGGUGGUUCUGAAUGGAAGGGCCAUCGCUCAACGGAUAAAAGGUACUCCGGGGAUAACAGGCUG